rnacentral:rRNA from 1 species
UUGGAGGGCAAGUCUGGUGCCAGCAGCCGCGGUAAUUCCAGCUCCAAUAGCGUAUAUUAAAGUUGUUGCAGUUAAAAAGCUCGUAGUCGAAUUUCGGGAUCAAUUUAUUGGUCGUGCUAUUGUACGUACUGGUAUUAUUGAUUCCUACCUUCUGACGAACCAUGAUGUCAUUAAUUUGGUGUCUUGGGGAAUCAGGACUGUUACUUUGAAAAAAUUAGAGUGUUUAAAGCAGGCUCACGCUUGAAUACAUUAGCAUGGAAUAACGAAAUAGGACGUUUGAUUCUAUUUUGUUGGUUUCUAGGAUCGACGUAAUGAUUAAUAGGGAUAGUUGGGGGCAUUAGUAUUCAAUUGUCAGAGGUGAAAUUCUUGGAUUUAUUGAAGACUAACUACUGCGAAAGCAUUUGCCAAGGAUGUUUUCAUUAAUCAAGAACGAAAGUUAGGGGAUCGAAGACGAUCAGAUACCGUCGUAGUCUUAACCAUAAACUAUGCCGACUAGGGAUCGGAUGAUGUUAAUUUUUUAAUGACUCAUUCGGCGCCUUACGGGAAAC